GAUUCAGAAUGUGGUCGCCUGCAUUGGUGCUCGUCCUUUGGACUCUGUUGAUCCCAGGAUUGUUCGGUGAGUCUUUCCUUAGGCAGACAGACAGAUUUAAGUCCGUCUCUCUCGGCGGGACGGUGACCAUCGGCGCCAAGGGGAGUUCAGACAUUGGUUGGGAUCUCAGUUGGUACCAAGUGAAACCUGGGCAGCCUCCAAAACUGCUCAUCUACGCUGCAGAUGCUCUCUUCUCUGGAACGCCUUCUAGAUUCAGUGGCCAACAAUCUGGCUCUGACUACACUCUGACCAUCAGUGGUGUCCAGGCCGAAGACGUGGCCGAUUACUACUGUCUCGGCAAUCAUGGCGGUGGAGUGUUCACACAGUGAUUCAGAGGCGUACAAAAACCUUUGACUCUGAGAGAAGUGAAACUGGCCUCUGAGAAAGUGGCAGGGGCAGAAGACACUAAAUGAUAAGCAUGAGCGGUCCUCAAGCAGAAUAUUCGAGAUACUAAAGAUGACACAGUAUUUUUAUAUUUUUCAUUCAUUCAUCUUCCGUGCCUCAUUUUAUUUGAAAUAACUUCAGAAAUUCAUCUUUCAUGUUUUUUUUUUUUUUGUGUUUUUUUUUUUAUAUCUGUGAUUAUAUGUUUUCAUUUGA